rnacentral:ncRNA from 1 species
CAAAAGUUUGGUCCUGGCUUUACUAUCAGCUUUAACUCAAAUUACACAUGCAAGUAUCCGCACCCCCGUGAGGAUGCCCCUAUUACCCCACCCGGAAAUAGGGAGCCGGCAUCAGGCACAGACCUAGACUAGCCCAAGACGCCUUGCUUUGCCACACCCCCAAGGGAACUCAGCAGUGAUAAACAUUAAGCAAUAAGUGAAAACUUGACUUAGUUAGUGUUAUUUUAAGAGCAGGUAAAACUCGUGCCAGCCACCGCGGUUACACGUGAAGGCUCAAGUUGAUAGUCUACGGCGUAAAGGGUGGUAAGAGGCAUUAAUUAAACAAAUAAAGUCGAACAACCUCCAGGCCGUUGCACGCAUUGCGAGGACAGGAAGCCCAAUCACGAAAGUAACUUUAGAACCUCUCGAUCCACGAAAGCUGAGAAACAAACUGGGAUUAGAUACCCCACUAUGCUCAGCCCUAAACCAAGAUGCCUCAAUUACAGUUGCAUCCGCCAGGGAACUACGAGCGCCAGCUUGAAACCCAAAGGACUUGGCGGUUUCUCAGACCCACCUAGAGGAGCCUGUUCUGUAACCGAUGAUCCCCGUUAAACCUCACCACUCCUUGUCACCACAGCCUAUAUACCGCCGUCGCAAGCUCACCCUGUGAAGGAAUAAAAGUAAGCAAAAUGGGUCUCACCCAAGAACGUCAGGUCGAGGUGUAGCUUACGGAGUGGAAAGAAAUGGGCUACAUUUUCUAUCCCAGAAAACUACGAACGGCACUGUGAAAUCAGUGCCCGAAGGAGGAUUUAGCAGUAAAAAUCAAAUAGAGCGUGAUUUUGAAGCAGGCUCUGAGAAGCGUACACACCGCCCGUCGCUCUCCCCUACUUUAAACCAACUAAAGUAAAUAACCAAACAACCAAAACCACGGGGAGAUAAGUCGUAACAUGGUAAGUGUACCGGAAGGUGCACUUGGAAAAC